AUAACGUUCGGGAAACCGGAGCUAAUACCGGAUAAUAUUUCGAACCGCAUGGUUCGAUAGUGAAAGGUGGUUUUGCUAUCACUUAUAGAUGGACCCGCGCCGUAUUAGCUAGUUGGUAAGGUAACGGCUUACCAAGGCGACGAUACGUAGCCGACCUGAGAGGGUGAUCGGCCACACUGGAACUGAGACACGGUUCAGACUCCUACGGGAGGCAGCAGUG
rnacentral:rRNA from 1 species